GGCAUCAAAAUCACUGUUUGUCAAUAAGGGAGACACAAAAUCAUUAAAACGAUAGGUAACUUCCAAAGGCUUUAGCUUUUCAAUAUACAGUCUCUUCAAGCCAUCAAUGAUGGAUGUAACUGCAACAAGUGGCAUCUAAGCAAGAAAUGAAAAAGGAAAGAAAGGAAACUCAUCAGAAAACAGGCAAAAAAUGCCAACAUCCCCUAAAAGACAGGUAGGAAGAAGUUGAUCUAGCAUAUUACCGAAUCAAAUGAAUGAACAACAUAUCAGACAAAAUAGGAUAGAGAAAUAGGUAUGCAUACGAAAAAUAUCCCUAUAUUUUGUAAAGAUUGCAACAUAAGAAAGUGGAUAGCAAAAAUUCAAUAGUGAGAUGUGGACCAUUGAUCCCAUAUAUUCUUUGGCUUAUAUCAUUAAACGAGGUUUCCAGUACAUUAAAAAAUAAUAAAAUAAUGCACGCGAAAUUUCUGUGCAAACAGGAAACCUGAUCACAAGCAGAAAAGGCACAUAAGGAUCUGCUGCUGCAUAAUUCCACAGAAAGAAAAAAAAAAAGUACAGUGAUAGAGCUGCAUUGCAUCUAAGAAAGUCACAUCCUUACUUCACCUUAAAUAGACAUCAGUCCAACCAACAGUAAAUGUUACAGUCAGGACUCAGGAAAAGGCAGAAAAAAUGGGUAACAAUGUAUAUUAGAAAUAAAUAAGAGAGACGGGAGAGGAGAAGGAUAUGACUCUAAUUAGACUCAAUUUGAGUCAGAACUGAAGAGCAUUUUGUGAUGACAUACUGGAACAUACAACUUACCUUUCUUGAAGAUUUCAAAUUAAACCGUUGAGCCAUUGCUGAUGAUUGUAGCUGAACAAAUCCAUUGAUUUCUGGCUCACUAUUCAUUGUUGAAACAUUUAACAAGGUAUCAAUGCCUUCCAUCAGUGGAGGUUUAAUAUUCUCCAUGGAAGAAGUAGUUUUAAGGAUAUCCGAGGUUAUCUCAUGUCCUGCCUGCGCCAGAGAAAUGAGCUGCAUAGCAGCAAUGAACUCCGUAAAUCCUAAAAAUCCUUGCCGUUUAGUAUCUGCAAGUGCCCAAACCUGUUUGAGUUCCUGGCGAGAAAGGUUGGACAUAGAGAAGAACUUAGUGGCAUCAUUUCCAGUGAUACGCCCAUCUCCAUCUGAAUCGGCUGUGUUGAACCACUCCUUGUAAAUCUGUUGGUGCUCUUUUGAGCAUGAUCCAAUUGUGCCUUUCCCCUCCAUUAUCAAAUUCAAUACGGAACCACACCCACUGACGCACAAAUAACAACUCCUUUCUAUGAGAUUCAAUUUUCCAAGGGAAAAUAUGAGAAACAGGAGAGUUUAUUAUCCCCUUUUCUUUUUCAGAAGAAAUAAGAGAACACUUGAACGUUUGAUCUCUCUCAAACAACCGUCUCCUGUCUCUUCAAAAUUUGAAUUAGUAUUGACAAUGGAUUUGGGAAAAAGGCGCAAUACCUCCCCCCCACUCCCCCCCGCUACUCUUGUC
rnacentral:misc_RNA from 1 species